GGGAUUAUGAAUAAUUUAAUGAUCCUUUGUUUUUAACAAAUAUUAAUAUAGACAAAUUAUAAUUUUUUAUGGAUAUUCAUGCUCUUUUUGUAAAUCCACAAAGCAUGUUAUUUGUGAUACAUGGCUAGAGGUAUAAGGGGACGGUUGAGAUCUCAAAAACAUGUUUAACUUCGCCGCAUUUUUGCGCCUGUCCCAAGUCAGGAGCCUCUGGCCUUUGUUAGUCUUGUAUGAUUUUCAAUUUCAGUUUCUUGUGUAUAAUUCGGAGUUUAGUAUGGCGUCCAUUAUUACUGUACUAGUAUACAUAUUUGUUUAGGGGCCAGCUGAAGGACGCCUCCGGGUGCUGGGGUUUCUCGCAGCAUUGAAGACCUAUUGGUGACCUUCUGCUG
rnacentral:lncRNA from 1 species